GCAAACUAACAUUAUUCAUCGUGUCAUUUUUCAUGUCGGGAGUUGGAGCCUUUUUUUCUGACUGACGGCCGGAAUGCCGCCAAAAGGCUGAUAACAUCGACUGAUUUGUAGUCUGGAUGUAGUCUGCAAUGUCGGAGGUGUAUUUUGGAUCCUCCUCUUUUGAAUGCCAUAGUAUCGAUGAUAACAUCAACUGUUUGUGGUCAUGUCAUCUGCAUCGGAGGCGUAUUGGAGUCUUGUGAUUGCCUCGUAGCGGUGCUAACAGCAGGUGAGCUU